CUUGAGCAAAGCAAACACCUUUAAAACAAAAAUAAUAUUGAGACCUCUUCAGGCCUUCUCAGUAUCUCAUCACAGCAUCAUGCACAUCUGCUGGAAAAUAAUUUUGAUGCUGAUGGUUCUUGUGUGUCAGUGUGUUACUGAGCAGCAGCAAGACAAUUUUUUAGAUGCAUCAAAAUUUUGUCUUCAUCUGCCAUCUGAAGAACAGAUGAGUACUGUUCAGCCAACUACAGUGAACAGUAUGGUCAGCUGCUGUAUGCAGGUGUUGAAGGCAAGAAUUCCUCCUGAAAUAAAGCUUACAGGAUUCAAGAGGCAGUAUGCUUUUACUCCAUGUGUUGAUGCCAUUAUAUUUUACACAGAGAAGCAACAAUUCUGCUCUGAUCCUCAAGCAGACUGGAUAACACAACGAUUGGAGGAGUUGGUGUUGGAGUCACUCAAAACACUGAACUCAACGGCACCCGAGGAGCAUGACCCCACACUCAUCCACAUUGUAAAUUCAAACCAAUCAUAUGCUGAAAAUGUCACCUGCUGUAAAACUGUCUCCACGAAGGAAGUAAUCGAUUCCAUAAUUGGUUUCAGGAUGCAAAAAUCUGAUACCACCUGCGUUAAGGCAGUCAUCUUUAAGACUGAAAAGGGGGAAUUCUGCAGUCAUUGGAGACAACCAUGGGUUUUAAAGAAAAUUCGCCAGUUUCUCAGUGCUCAAAGAAAAAUGCUUGCUGAAAAACAUGUGCUCGAACACCUGACCUCCUCACCGACACCAACAACAUCCAUUAGUCACACCACUUUUGUUUGAAGAUCCACCCAAUGAUUCACCUAAGGUGUUUGAGAAAAUUCCACUAUUGAAUCCAACAAAUUUGCAGAGCUCUAAAGGAAACUAGCUGAAACCAUUGCGAUUUGACUGCCUUGAUACCACCAUCAUUUAUUUGUGACUGCUUCUGUGGGAGUUUCAAGGAAUUCACAGUUGAAUGGCAAAUUCAUCGUCAAAGCACAUGUCUAGUUAUGUGCUAUUAAUGGAAUUUGGACCCUCUGAAAUCUAAUGACAAUCUUGAAAUGAUUAAAUAUGAUUGAAAACAAUAGGCUUUGAUUUCACUUUAUAUACUGUUAAAGGAUAUGUAGCUUCUGUGGCAAGAAAGGUGAUACCGGUCUGAAAAAGACUAAUUCAUAUAAAUGAUUUUUUUUUUUAAAUUGAGUAUUUUCUAAUAUGUCUAUAUUCUUUUGGUCUUUCAUAAUAAUCAAAAUAUUUCUAAAGUCAAGACCAUAGAAGUUGAUUAAUGUAUAUUUAUUUCUGCUGAGACCAUGUUUACAUUUGAUUUUAAAGCUGCCUGAGAUCCAUAGAAGAGUUUAGCAACACCAAAAGAAGUACAGAAUACUUCCAAAAACAAAAAGCCACCUUUACAUGGUAUUUGUGGGUAGUUUAAGAAGUACUUUGACACAGUUUAAACCCAGAAGUCACAGCAAUGGAGAUUAACACGCACGUGCGCACACAUGCACAGGUAGCAUCAGGACAGCGAGAGCAAGACAACGAGACCGUUCAAAGGAUUUGACAAUAAAUAUCUACUUCAACAGUGCAGGUGAAGAAUGAAGCGGUGCAGCGGCACCGGCUGCAGUAGCUGGGGAGAAGUUCAUGGAUGUUUGCGCGCCAUGGCCGCACAAUGGGUGCAUUGUGGUAGUCAGGAGCAGAUUCGUAGUGAGGUGCAGGAAACAAGCGAAUAGCAGAAUGGAAGGCAAUCACUCUCCUGACACACGGGCAGAGACAAGGAAUCCUCCACUGAAUAUUCAUGAGCACAGAGAAAAAGCGUACAGCAAACUGGAAGGCAACCACACUCACAACACGCAGGCAGAGAUGGGCAACCAAACAGAUACACGAGAUAGGAUCAACUAAGCAGAGAGCGUGAAGUAAGUUACUUCACACCAAACAAAAAUCUAGCAAAGAUACUGACAACACAAAGGGAUUAAGUAGGGAGUGAAUCAGCAGAGAACCAGGUGCUGCUAGAAUGCUAAUUAGUGGCAUUAUCAGCAUGCCCCUGGGAACAAUCAGUGUUCCCAUGGAAACACUGAUCAUGCAUGCCGGCAGCACCUGCGAAACAUGAGGGAGAGAAAAAACAAAACAAACAGAACAAACUGAAAACUCACCGGAGCCAUGAC